rnacentral:tRNA from 2 species
GCGGACGUGGCGAAACUGGUAGACGCAAGAGACUUAAAAUCUCUCAGCCUUUGGCUAUGCGGGUUCGAUCCCCGCCGUCCGCA